CCUACGGGAGGCAGCAGUGGGGGAUAUUGCACAAUGGGGGAAACCCUGAUGCAGCGACGCCGCGUGGGUGAAGAAGCGCCUCGGCGCGUAAAGCCCUGUCAGCAGGGAAGAAAAUGACGGUAACUGAAGAAGAAGCCCCGGCUAACUACGUGCCAGCAGCCGCGGUAAUACGUAGGGGGCAAGCGUUAUCCGGAUUUACUGGGUGUAAAGGGGGCGCAGACGGCGAUGCAAGCCAGAAGUGAAAGCCCGGGGCCCAACCCCGGGACUGCUCUUGGAACUGCGUGGCUAGAGUGCAGGAGGGGCAGGCGGAAUUCCUGGUGUAGCGGUGAAAUGCGUAGAGAUCAGGAGGAACACCGGUGGCGAAGGCGGCCUGCUGGACUGCAACUGACGUUGAGGCCCGAAAGCGUGGGGAGCAAACAGGAUUAGAUACCCUAGUAGUC
rnacentral:rRNA from 1 species